CAGCAGCCGCGGUAAUACGAAGGGGGCUAGCGUUGUUCGGAAUUACUGGGCGUAAAGGGCGCGUAGGCGGCCAUUCAAGUUAGAUGUGAAAGCCCUGGGCUCAACCUAGGAAUUGCAUUUGAUACUGUUUGGCUUGAGUUCGGGAGAGGUGAGUGGAAUUCCCAGUGUAGAGGUGAAAUUCGUAGAUAUUGGGAAGAACGCCAGUGGCGAAGGCGGCUCACUGGACCGACACUGACGCUGAGGCGCGAAAGCGUGGGGAGCAAACAGGAUUAGAUACCCCCGUAGUCCCUGUCUCUUAUAC
rnacentral:rRNA from 1 species